rnacentral:rRNA from 1 species
CAGCCGCCGCGGUAAUACGUAGGGGGCGAGCGUUGUCCGGAAUUAUUGGGCGUAAAGCGCGCGCAGGCGGUCCCUUAAGUCUGAUGUGAAAGCCCACGGCUCAACCGUGGAGGGUCAUUGGAAACUGGGGGACUUGAGUGCAGAAGAGGAGAGCGGAAUUCCACGUGUAGCGGUGAAAUGCGUAGAGAUGUGGAGGAACACCAGUGGCGAAGGCGGCUCUCUGGCCUGUAACUGACGCUGAGGCGCGAAAGCGUGGGGAGCAAACAGGAUUAGAUACCCUGGUAGUCCACGCCGUAAACGAUGAGUGCUAAGUGUUAGAGGGGUCACACCCUUUAGUGCUGUAGCUAACGCGAUAAGCACUCCGCCUGGGGAGUACGGCCGCAAGGCUGAAACUUAAAGGAAUUGGCGGG